GAUGAACGCUAGCUACAGGCUUAACACAUGCAAGUCGAGGGGUAACGAGAGGAAAGCUUGCUUUCCUUGUCGACGACCGGCGCACGGGUGAGUAACGCGUAUCCAACCUGCCCCCAACUCAGGAAUAACCUUGCGAAAGUAAGACUCAUACCUUAUAAUUUCUUCAGAUGUCAUCUGACGAGGAAUAAAGAUUUAUCGGUUGUGGAUGGGAUUGCCUCUUAUUAGCUUGUUGGCGGGGUAACGGCCCACAAAGGCAACGAUCAGUAGGGGUUCUGAGAGGAAGGUCCCCCACAUUGGGACUGAGACACUGUCCAAACGCCUACGAGAGGCAGCAGUGAGGAAUAUUGGUCAAUGUGCGAAAGCCUGAACCAGCCAAGUAGCGUGCAGGAUGACGGCCCUAUGGGUUGUAAACUGCUUUUAUACAGGAAUAAAGUUAGCCACGUGUGGUUAUUUGUAGGUACUGUAUGAAUAAGGACCGGCUAAUUCCGUGCCAGCAGCCGCGGUAA
rnacentral:rRNA from 1 species